UCGGGAGCACGAGCUGCAGCACCACUUCCGGAAAGUUCAGGCGCCCUGGAAAGGAGAAGAAAUAAGACAACAGGAGGAAGAGAGAGAGAGGGUAGAAUGGAAGAAUCUCACUUUAAUUCUAACCUGUACUUCUGGCCUUCUAUCCCCGCAGUUUCAGGACAAAUUGAGAACACAAUGUUCAUCAAUAAGAUGAAGGAUCAGCUGUUGCCAGAGAAGGGCUGUGGGCUGGCUCCACCUCACUACCCCACCCUGCUGACAGUGCCUACCUCAGUGUCCUUGCCCUCAGGCAUCAGUAUGGACACGGAAUCCAAAUCAGACCAGCUGACCCCACACAGCCAGGCUUCCGUCACUCAGAAUAUCACGGUGGUCCCUAGCCAUCUACAGGACUGAUGACUGCUGGCCCAGGUUUGCCCUGCCAGGUGGUCCCUGACCUCUCCAAGAAGGUAGCAUCAACCCUAACAGAGGAAGGAGGUGGAGGUGGUGGUGGAGGUGGCAGCGUGGUUCCUAAGCCACCCAGGGGCCGAAAGAAGAAGCGGAUGUUGGAGUCGGGGCUGCCUGAAAUGAAUGACCCCUAUGUCCUCUCCCCUGAGGAUGAUGAUGACCAUCAGAAAGACAGAGAUGCAGAUCCACUCCAAGUCACACACCGAGACCAAGCCCCACAAGUGCCCACAUUGUUCCAAGACCUUCGCCAACAGCUCCUACCUGGCCCAGCACAUCGUAUACACUCAGGGGCUAAGCCCCACAGUUGUAACUUCUGUGAGAAAUCCUUCUGCCAGCUCUCCCACCUUCAGCAGCACACCCGAAUCCACACUGGUGAUAGAUAAUACAAAUGUGCACACCCAGGCUGUGAGAAAGCCUUCACCCAGCUCUCCAAUCUACAGUCCCACAGAUGGCAACACAACAAAGAUAAACUCUUCAAGUGCCACAAUUGUCAUGGGGCGUACACAGAUGCAGCCUCACUAGAGGUACACCUAUCUACGCAUACGGUGAAGCAUGCCAAGGUGUACACCUGCACUAUCUGCAGUCAGGCAACGUCGGAAACGUACCUUAUGAAACAUAUGCGCAAACACAACCCUCCUGAUCUCCAGCAACAAGUACAGGUGGCGGCGGCAGCAGCAGUGGCCCUGGCCCAGGCCCAGGCUCAGGCUCAGGCUCAGGCUCAGGCCCAGGCCCAGGCCUCCCAAGAAUCACAGCAGCAGCAGCAGCCACCACACUUCCAGUCUCCUGGGGCAGCCCCCCAGGGUGGGGAUGGUGGGGACAACAACCCCAACCCUCCACCCCAGUGUUCUUUUGACCUGACCCCCUAUAAGACUGCGGAGCAUCAUAAGGACAUCUGCCUCACUGUCACCACCAGCACCAUCCAGGUGGAGCACCUGGCCAGCUGUUAGAGAUCCGUGCUGCCACCCACUGGGAAGAGGAGAAAGAAGUUUUGGUCCCUCCUUUCUCCAACUCUUGGUGGGAAAACUCCUCUUCCUUGAUAAGCCUUGGCCCUAUUUCCUUGGGCCUUAGGCAUGGCUUUCCUUCACAAGAUACCAUCCUUAUUCUCAACUCCUCUUCAAAAGGAACAUCAGCCCUCCUGAUUGGCAAAGGAAUACUGAGCUGAUGGUGUCAUUUAGCAGCCUCCCCUCCCAAGCAAAGCUUUUUAAAUUGGGGGUUGGUGCUCAAGGGAAGGAUUUGCUAUGACCUCAUAGAAAUUUGUCCUGUGUGGACACUUACCCUACCUUUAUCCUCAUCCUCAAAGG